rnacentral:rRNA from 1 species
GAUGAACGCUGGCGGCGUGCUUAACACAUGCAAGUCGAACGGUGAAGGCGGAGCUUGCUCUGCUGGAUCAGUGGCGAACGGGUGAGUAACACGUGAGCAAUCUGCCCCUGACUCUGGGAUAAGCGCUGGAAACGGCGUCUAAUACUGGAUACGAGCUGCGAAGGCAUCUUCAGCAGCUGGAAAGAAUUUCGGUCAGGGAUGAGCUCGCGGCCUAUCAGCUUGUUGGUGAGGUAAUGGCUCACCAAGGCUUCGACGGGUAGCCGACCUGAGAGGGUGACCGGCCACACUGGGACUGAGACACGGCCCAGAAUCCUACGGGAGGCAGCAGUGGGGAAUAUUGCACAAUGGGCGAAAGCCUGAUGCAGCAACGCCGCGUGAGGGAAGACGGCCUUCGGGUUGUAAACCUCUUUUAGCGGGGAAGAAGCGAAAGUGACGGUACCUGCAGAAAAAGCGCCGGCUAACUACGUG